rnacentral:rRNA from 1 species
GAUGAACGCUGGCGGCGUGCCUAACACAUGCAAGUCGAACGGAGAUUUAACGCUGAUGAAGCUUCGGCAGAAUCUUGUUAAAUCUUAGUGGCGGACGGGUGAGUAACGCGUGGGCAACCUGCCUCGUACUGGGGGAUAACAGCUGGAAACGACUGUUAAUACCGCAUAAGCGCACGGUACCGCAUGGUACAGUGUGAAAAACUCCGGUGGUACGAGAUGGGCCCGCGUCAGAUUAGCCAGUUGGUGGGGUAACGGCCUACCAAAGCAACGAUCUGUAGCCGGACUGAGAGGUCGGACGGCCACAUUGGGACUGAGACACGGCCCAAACUCC